rnacentral:rRNA from 1 species
GACGAACGCUGGCGGCGUGCUUAACACAUGCAAGUCGAGCGGAAAGGCCCUUCGGGGUACUCGAGCGGCGAACGGGUGAGUAACACGUGAGUAACCUGCCCUAGGCUUUGGGAUAACCCCGGGAAACCGGGGCUAAUACCGGAUAUGACCUGGUGCCGCAUGGUGUUGGGUGGAAAGUUUUUUCGGCCUGGGAUGGGCUCGCGGCCUAUCAGCUUGUUGGUGGGGUGAUGGCCUACCAAGGCGAUGACGGGUAGCCGGCCUGAGAGGGCGACCGGCCACACUGGGACUGAGACACGGCCCAGACUCCUACGGGAGGCAGCAGUGGGGAAUAUUGCACAAUGGGCGGAAGCCUGAUGCAGCGACGCCGUGUGAGGGAUGAAGGCCUUCGGGUUGUAAACCUCUUUCAGCGGGGACGAAGCGUGAGUGACGGUACCUGCAGAAGAAGCGCCGGCCAACUACGUG